rnacentral:rRNA from 1 species
UGAGAGUUUGAUCCUGGCUCAGGAUAAACGUUGGCGGCGUGCCUUAGGCAUGCAAAUCAAGGGGCUCCGACGCAAGUCGGAGAACCGGUGGACGGGUGAGUAAUACGCAGGAAUCUGCCUGGAAGUGGGAUAUAGCUCGGCGAAAGCCGGGGUAAUCUCCCAUGUGAACGCAAGUUUAAAGCCGCAAGGCGCUUCUAGAUGAGCCUGCGUCCUAUCAGCUAGUUGGUGGGGUAAUGGCCUACCAAGGCGACGACGGGUAGCUGGACUGAGAGGUCGGUCAGCCACAAUGGGACUGCGACCAAAACUGAUCGCCUGCAUUGGUAACGAUGCAGUAAAAUCCAACUAAUAACGGUGGAGUCCAAACAAGCUACUUGACUUCGGGUAACCUUUGGGUUACGUUAGAAGUAUGUACGUUUGGGAUAAUACCGUGGGAAGUUCUAGAAGAGUUAAUCCAACGGCGCUAGCAUAUAUUGCAGGAUUUUUAGACGGUGAUGGGUGUAUUAAAGCAAGACUAGAUAAACAACCAAACAAUAAGUUUGGCUGGAGAACUAGAAUUGCAGUUAGCUUUACCCAACACACUAGAAAUCGGCAUGUAUUGGAUUGGAUAUACAGCCAGCUUAGAAAUGGUUCUAUAGCUGACUAUCCAUCUAAAAAUUUAUCAGAGUAUGUAAUUACUGAUAGUAAAUUUGUGGAGCGUUUGUUGAAGGGUUUAAAACUAUAUGUAGUGAAUAAGUUCAAACAAUUAGAUUUGGCUUUACAGCUUCUAAUUUUAAAAGAUCGUUUUAAGAAUAAAGAUUCUUUUAAUAAAGGUUUAGAAUUAGCGCUACAAAUUAGAGGUUUAAAUCAUUAUCACAAAAAACAUUUUUCUAGUAACCCCGUAACGACUGACAUGGAAGGUACCAGAUAAUCUGGGAUACUAAACUUCCAUUACAUGUUGGCUCCCCCGAUCAAAUCGGGGGAUGAAGAUAUAGUCUGAUACUCCGAGGGAUCGGAGAAAACAUUUAUGACGGCCCAUACACCUACGGGUGGCAGCAACCGGGAAUAUUCGACAAUGGACGAAAGUCUGAUCGAGCGACGCCGCGUGGAGGAUGAAGGCCCUCGGGUUGUAAACUCCUUUUAUCUGGGAAGAUUAUGACGGUACCAGAUGAAUAAGCACUUGCUAACUACGUGCCAGAAGCCUCGGUAAUGCGUAGAGUGCAAACGUUAUCCGGAUUUAUUGGGCGUAAAGAGUUGCGUAGGCUGAUCCGUGCAUUUUGUUUGAAAUGCUCUGACUUAAUCAGGGAU